UUACCUUUCAAAACUGACUGUCCCUCGCUCUCUCUUUCCAUCUGCUACGAGACUAUGAGAGUCAUAGCUUUAAUUAGAGUCAAAACUGAAAAACUGCAUUUAUCUCAUCUCUUGUCCUACAGCCUAUUUCAAAUACUCAACUAUCCCAAUCUCAGUCUCAUCUAACUUCUAAUUGAAAAACCAUUCAGAGUUUAUGUCCACACAUGUACAGAUAGAUCAGGAAGAAGCAGCCCUAGAAAUUGAAGGCGGAUCGUGUUGCUGGAUCAGUUUUGGUGGAUCGGAAAGGAGAUGACGUCGGUGCUCCGAUCGGCGUGAUUGAUGACAUCGUCGGAGUAUGCCUUCUUUCUGGUUGGUUCACCUCUCCAAUCGCUGUUCUGUUUGAGAUCCAGCCUGUGUUAGGUUGGAUCCGGUCCGAUCCGUUGGAUGGCUGAAAUUGUGAUGCUUGGAUUGGCAUCUAUCACCUAGUUUGUUGUUGAGCAUAAUGUAUCGGCUUUCUUCCUCUCUCUCUAUUAUCUUCGAACCCAGAUCCGAUCCCCAAUCUAAGAAAAAGAUAGUUUGAUAUCAGCUUAGAAGGAGCGAGCCAAGAGGACAAGUAUUGAUGUGUGGACUGCUUUGAUUAUCAGCCUCAGCUGAGCGUUGAAUGUUGGUUUUCCAGAGGGUACGACUUCGAAAAGAAAGGAGCAAAACAAAAUAGUAGCAGCUACAUUUUUCUUUUCUUAUUGUGUUGUUGUAUUAUGUUUUUCGUUGUUCCCUUGUAAAUAUUUACUGGGGUAUUGGCGUUCAUUCUCCGCUCCCUCUCUGUAUCAUUUCUCGAAUAAAUUAGAUAUUUUGAUGAUUUCUGGA